GAAAUUCCAACCUUAUAAAGAAUUACAGGAACGUGAAUGCUUAUCACAGGAACUGGGGGCUUGCUGCUAUCAAAGAGUCGGAAAUCAAACCAUGCACUCAGAAGUAAAGAAUGUACAGUGGACACAGUGCAAUACCUGUCAUGGUUGGCUUCACACAGAAUGUGCAGGAAUAGAUCGAGCCACUGACACAUCAUUUAACUGUGGGUGCCACAUGAAACUGCCCUAUUGUUUAAAAAGAACGAGGGCUGCUGCGGAAAAGGGCAUGCUGGAAAGUAUCUUGACAGAUGAAGAGAUUCAAGUAAAUGUUCAAAAUGUUAUGAUUAAGCAAAAACUAACACAAGUACAGAAUAAAACAUUGA